AGGAGCAACAGCCCCAGUGGCGGGGCAGCUCUGGAAACCUGGAUUCAGCCCCCGCAGGAACUCCGGAGCUCUCCGUCUGCAGGGCCUGGAGGCUCCUGGGCGGG
rnacentral:pre_miRNA from 1 species